rnacentral:rRNA from 1 species
GAUGAACGCUGGCGGCGUGCCUAACACAUGCAAGUCGAACGAAGCACCUUACCUGAUUCUUCGGAUGAAAGUUUGGUGACUGAGUGGCGGACGGGUGAGUAACGCGUGGGUAACCUGCCCUGUACAGGGGGAUAACAGCUGGAAACGGCUGCUAAUACCGCAUAAGCGCACGAGGAGACAUCUCCUUGUGUGAAAAACUCCGGUGGUACAGGAUGGGCCCGCGUCUGAUUAGCUGGUUGGCAGGGUAACGGCCUACCGAGGCAACGAUCAGUAGCCGGUCUGAGAGGAUGAACGGCCACAUUGGAACUGAGACACGGUCCAAACUCCUACGGGAGGCAGCAGUGGGGAAUAUUGCACAAUGGGGGAAACCCUGAUGCAGCAACGCCGCGUGAGUGAAGAAGUAUUUCGGUAUGUAAAGCUCUAUCAGCAGGGAAGAUAAUGACGGUACCUGACUAAGAAGCUCCGGCUAAAUACGUG